AUGGGAUGCUGGAACUGCAAGCUGCAGCUUUAUCUGCUGUCCACAGCACCAUCCCCCAUUCUGCAUUUUUACAGGGUAUUUUUUUCUCUAUCUGCAGGACACUCCCUAGGACCUUCCAGGAUAACCUCAGGAGGAAGCUGGCACCACGUGCAGUUUACCAAGCCAGACCACAUUAAACGUGUUCUUGUCCCAGUGAAAGGUGAAAGUAACAAUAGUACUGAGGCUACUACAAGAAGGUAAUGUGAGUACUGCACAAAGAAGAGCUGUUUCACAGUGAAGCACAGCUGAGAUGAAGACAUUUUCUAGAGGACAACUUUGCUGUUCCCAGGAGGUGAACACUGUCCAGUGACUGCUAUUACUCUGACACAUGACGGGGAACUGGGUAACGUCUCAUUGUCAACCACAGUGAUGGGAAGGAGCAGGUUAAGAUUCCAUUACAAGGAAGGUAUUUCCAUUAAUGAAAACCUGUUUCACUUUUGGUAGAGUUGGAACCAAAAUUAAGCUAAAUGUACAUACAGUGAUUCCUAUGUGAAUAGAAAGAUUACAUAUACAGGUUUUUUACUUUCAUAUUGGUAAGACCAGUGUACCUAAAAAUACUCAUGAAUUAUUUUUAAAAAUACUUAUUAAAGGAUCUCUUGAUCUUGCUCUUCCUUUAUCUGCUCACUCAGCAAAGGUACCAGGAACUCCAUCCUGGUCUACCACAAGGUGGCAGUGGUCCAAUGAUAGCUUGGGCUGUCCUGCUGCCUUCCCAGGCACAUGGGUAGGAAGUUGAGUUGGAAGCAGAGCAACCAGAUCUCUGAUAUGGGAUGCCAUUGUCAGAAGCAGUGACUUAACGCUCUGUGUCACAAUACCGACCCCUCAUAACCAAAGAUUUUUCACUGGGGUUAGACUAGGGGCUAGUACUACUGAGGAAACAAAUUCAUUGAUACGUGGUAUUUUUGUCAUCUUUUAAAAAGUGACUAGUUUUUCUUUGUCAAUGACAUGUAAGCAUAUUUUUAAUAUAAUUAUUAACAUUUAUUUCUUCAAAAGCAACUCUUACAUACUAAAAAAUAACUUUAUUGGGGUAAACUUGACUAUAAAAUAAAACACAGAUUAGAAGUGUAGGAUGUGAGUUU
rnacentral:lncRNA from 1 species